rnacentral:rRNA from 1 species
UCUGUGGGAUCAGUGGCGAACGGGUGAGUAACACGUGAGCAACCUGCCCCUGACUCUGGGAUAAGCGCUGGAAACGGCGUCUAAUACUGGAUAUGUGACGUGACCGCAUGGUCUGCGUUUGGAAAGAUUUUUCGGUUGGGGAUGGGCUCGCGGCCUAUCAGCUUGUUGGUGAGGUAAUGGCUCACCAAGGCGUCGACGGGUAGCCGGCCUGAGAGGGUGACCGGCCACACUGGGACUGAGACACGGCCCAGACUCCUACGGGAGGCAGCAGUGGGGAAUAUUGCACAAUGGGCGAAAGCCUGAUGCAGCAACGCCGCGUGAGGGAUGACGGCCUUCGGGUUGUAAACCUCUUUUAGCAGGGAAGAAGCGAAAGUGACGGUACCUGCAGAAAAAGCGCCGGCUAACUACGUGCCAGCAGCCGCGGUAAUACGUAGGGCGCAAGCGUUAUCCGGAAUUAUUGGGCGUAAAGAGCUCGUAGGCGGUUUGUCGCGUCUGCUGUG